rnacentral:misc_RNA from 1 species
UAUAAAAAUAUAUUAAUGUUUUUCAUUAACUAUAGAAAAAUUUCUACUUUCUUUUUCCUUUAAAUUAUAUAUUUUAAAAAUCUUUUUAAGAUAAAAAUAAAAGUGCAUAUUAAUCCACUCUGGAAGGAACCAGAGUUCCAAAGCUACAUUAGAAACACUAUGACCAUGUGCUGCUCACAAGUGAGCCACGCGAUUCUGCUGACGCCUAACGAAACUAAAGGAACAUGCCUGAAAGCGGGAAGCAAGAUGCACAAUGUCUUCAAGAACAGUACCCAGAGGAUGAAGGAAUUGCUUAUGACGAAUCAGUGCGUCUACCAAUUCAGAACAAUCACUCAACCAGCACUUGACCAGACUCAAAUGGCAGAAUCUGAGAAAACCCGAAAAUGAACUGCGAGAGCCUCAGCCACAAGAGGAUCCAUAAUGGACGAAAGGGGUUGACAAGCAGCAAAAACAAUAGUCCCCGAUGAAUCACGGAGAACACAGCCCAAACCAGUAGAAGAAGCAAACGCGAGCACUGAAGCAUCGCUGUUGCUUGUUAGUUCCUCUUAAUGCAUUUUCAUUUAAAAUUUUAUAAUCUCCAUCCUUAAUUAUUUAAAUUAUUCUACAAGAUAAGUGCAAUCUAAAAUUAACAAA